rnacentral:rRNA from 1 species
GACGAACGCUGGCGGCGUGCUUAACACAUGCAAGUCGAACGGAAAGGCCCUGCUUGCCGGGUACUCGAGUGGCGAACGGGUGAGUAACACGUGGGUGAUCUGCCCUGCACUUCGGGAUAAGCCUGGGAAACUGGGUCUAAUACCGGAUAGGAGCCAUUUUUAGUGUGAUGGUUGGAAAGUUUUUUCGGUGUAGGAUGAGCUCGCGGCCUAUCAGCUUGUUGGUGGGGUAAUGGCCUACCAAGGCGGCGACGGGUAGCCGGCCUGAGAGGGUGGACGGCCACAUUGGGACUGAGAUACGGCCCAGACUCCUACGGGAGGAAGAAGUGGGGAAUAUUGCACAAUGGGCGCAAGCCUGAUGCAGAGACGCCGCGUGGGGGAUGACGGCCUUCGGGUUGUAAACUCCUUUCGCUAGGGACGAAGCUUUUUGUGACGGUACCUAGAGAAGAAGCACCGGCUAACUACGUG